CUCCAGCUCACGGUGCCCAGGAAGCUUCGGGCUACACCGGGCGCCCUGGUGGCUCAACUUCAGAGCCCUGGGCCCCUUUCGAGGCAGAAGCACCAGUGACCUGGGCAGAGACCACCGGACGGCCUUCACCAAGCCCUGCCUUUAAACAGGCGACUGCACGGCAGCCCACCCGUCUUCUUGCCUGGAGAAUCCCAAGGACAGAGGUGCCUGGCCGGCUGCAGUCCACGGGGUCGCACAGAGUCGGACACGACUGAGCAACUUUUGCUUUUCCCUCUUAGAACGGGGACACCCCUCAUUUCUAACUCCGAGUGACCUCUAACAGGGCAGGGCUGUUUAAGUGGCAUCUUGGGGACUUCCCUGGUGUCCCAGGGGUUAGGACUCGGCGCCUCCACUGCAGGGGCAAGGGUUCAGUCCCUGAUGGGGUAACGAAGACCCUGCCCCUGGUACAGCCAAGCAGACAGGGUGAUGGCUUGCCAAGGCUUUUCUGUUUCUUUGAAUUUCUCCCGGUGUAGAUCGCCUCCCGCAUACUGCCAGCCCCCCGGAGGCCCCUUCCCCUGGAGCGCCAGGCCCCGUCCAUCCUCGGUGCCCACGGUCACCCUUCAAAGGCCGGCGUGCCUCCAGCCCACGUGUUCUGCCAUCUGUCCUGCCCUCCCUCCUCGCUGACCCCUGGGGAACCCAGCGGAGCAGGGGCCCAGCCUGGAUCUUGGUCACAGAGAAGCGUGUUGUGAUUUAACUGGGAUUUUGGGCUGGGCAUCCCCGAGGCCCACUUCUCCAGCCACCAGUACAGCGCGCUCUUCGAGGAGACCUGCUGACAGGUCAGGACCCAUCUUAGCACUUGAAGAGC
ensembl:lncRNA